UGAACUGUGUCACAAAGUAAUAAAUCAUAGCUAGGGUUUUGAUUCUCUCAAACUCAUACCCAGCACACAUUCUGGAAGAUGUUCUUGUCCAUGUGAGUCAUGCUUGCUGCCCAUACCACCUGAGUAUCAGAAUUCUACAUCGAGGCUGAGAGAGAGAAGCGGACAAUAUAGCUGAAUUGUCUUCAUUGCAGAUACUAAGGAAGCAAUUGAUGAGGUCUUGUUGAGGGGAAGCAGCAUUUCUUUCCAAUGCUAAUUUCUUCUCAUUUAUAAGAUUGACCUUUUUCUCGGAGCCUAUGGUUGAAGCCUCUUAGGAUUGUACUUAAGUCUUUCCUGCAGCAAUGUUUUGCCCUUGUUCGAAGGCUUUUGGAAGAUUUUUCGGUGACCAAAUUGAAGGAGUCAAGCCUACAGCUCACCUCAUGUGGUUUUUUCGCUUUUGGAUCUAGCCAUGCUUGCGAGGGGAUCCUGAAUCUUGCCCUCGGAUUGUGAGGAUCUUUUGUUGAUUUGUGUCCUAGCUUUGUGUUGUCGAUCUUAUUCUAUUAGCUGAGGUCUAUUUCUAAUUGCUUGUUCUUUGUUUGCCUCUUAUAGUUAGAAGCUGCUCACUUCAUGUGGUUUUUUCCCUUUUGGACUUGUAUUGAGUUCAAUAUUUUUUUUGGUAUUAAAAUUCUUUGUGCUCAUUGUCCAUUCUAUUCUUUGUAUUGAAUUGUGUUCUAUUUUCUUUUUUGGGUAAAUUACAAAUACACCCCAUGAGGAUUCCUUAAAA